GCACACACACACACACACACACACACACACGUUAUCAGUCCAGUUCACAGCUCUGACAUGUUCACAUUAGGGCUGAAAUAAUUAAUUGGAUUAAUCUUCAUUAAUCGAUUAUUGAAAUAAUGGUCAACUAAUUUAGAAAUCAAAUAAUCAUUAAGUGGAGAAUACCGACUCUAAAUCAGACUGUUUGCUGAGAACAACCCACUCUGAGCAGUAAUUAGGCCAAAGCUGUACAAACAUUAUAUACUUUUAGCAUUUAAGAUGAAAAACCUUCCUUGUCUGCAAAUAUCUUCUAUCCAGAAUGCCUUUAGUGGCGUAGCUUUAGCUUCACCUGGUUCAUAUUCUGUAAAUAAUCUCCUAUUAGGCACUUUUUGCUAUCCGCUUAUUAAUCAAUUAUCAGAAUAAUCAUUAGUUGCAGCCCUGGUCCACAUGAUUCAGUCUAAAGUGAGAAACUACCCUGACCUCUUCAUCUUCUCAUAUAUUCCAACAGAAACAUGACUUCUUUACAUCCAGCAGUCGGUUGAAGAGGUCAGAUUCAGCUCUAUUCCAACCAAAUUGGGUCAGAACCACAAAGCUCUGGUGCAUAACAGAACUGACUUCCGAGCAUAUUCAGCUGAGCUUUCUGUCUCGUCAGACUAAAUGUGAAGAGGACAACUGUUUGCUGUGGUCCACCAGGAUCAUUACCCAGAGGUCAGCCUGAUUCUUCAUGUUGGAGCCGAAAGCUUCAGGUUUCCAAGGAAAACAUCUUUUCUUUGCAGAAAAAUAUUCACUUCAGCCCAAAGACACAGCAGUUUCUACCAUGGCCCGUUCACAUGCAUUAAAGAAACAAAAAAAUACAUUUUCUGUUUUAAACAGCUGCUAUGUUUAGGUUUCCAGGUUUACCAGGUGUACCUGAACACACCGAGGUCUACUUUCUACAGCUGGAGCUUUUCAAAGGGAUGCAGAUUUACAAAUGAGGUUUGGGCAAUUUGACGAUAUUAGAAUGAGUCGACAAUCUGUUAAAACACAUUGAUUAAUAAUUCAUGUUCAGCUUUAAUAUUUAGUUAAUAUUACCAUUUUAGAAUGACUUUGCAAUAAAAAGUUUUCUGAUUGUCCAUCAAACACGGCGUCUCAGAUGCUUCGCUCCAGAUGAAGGUAGAGAUAGUAACUUCAUCCAGCAGUCAGCGCCAAGCGCUAACUGUAGCUAAAUUCUAGAUGGUAGAAGUGUGCAGGAAAGGCCUGCAUGAGUAGCACCUAGCAGCUAACACAAAGCAGGUUAGCUUUAGCAGGAUAUGUGAAAUCUGCAGAAUGGUCUGGUUUAUCUUGUUUAACUGGUUACCACUUUGGAUUAUCAGCACUGUAGCUAAGGUUCUGCUAAACCUCUACACAGCAAAGGUAAUGACGUUUUCAGUUUUUCAGCAUCAACACAGAUGAUAAACUGACACAAUGCUUCCUUAGACCUUCAGAAUAAGAGCCUCUCUGGACUUUAAUCGUACUUUGUCUAAAUCUAAAUACAACUUCUCUCAUAAAGCCACAGUGUAAAAGUUGAGUGUCCUGUGUGUUAAACUACAGACUGAUACACAGGAUAUUCUCAGUGAUUAAAUUUGUAUUAUUAAUACUCAUGGUAAUAACAUGCAUAAUAAAUCAUGUUAUUAUUGUGUAGCAAUGAAGCUCUUUUUCCAAGUGUUGCUGAUGUUUACAUUUUAAAUUUAAAUUAAUUUUUCAGUUAAGUACAAGACUCUGGGACAAAGUGUACUGAAAAUACUCUUUAGCAUAAAUGCUUCUUUAAACUAUAUUUUCAGAUAGUAAAAUAUUGUUAAAUCCAUGAUUGUACUGUAAAAAUCAUCAUAUUUUCCACCCUACAAUAAAUCCAGAUUCCUACUUUGAAAUGCCAGAACAGAAACACUGUUCUAAUUUAACGGUGACUGCUUUAUGAAAGACUGGUUGAUGAGUGAGAAGAAACGGUGAAGGUCCAACUCAGCCCAGAAGGUCUGCUCAACACUAGGGAAAAAAAUCUACUAUUUAAAUUAAAGUUUAAAAUUAUGAUUCUUUCAUAUGAUUACUGGCCGAGUUUGGCAACACAACAUGUGUUCCAUUUAAAGAACAAAAUAACAAGCAUAAUCUGAAAAAAAUGUUAAUUUCAGGAGAUUUUUUCUAAUUGUUUAGCUCGACAAAGAAAUUAUCUCACAAAUUAGUGUAACUGCACAUCCCCUAGUUUCCAAGGAAACAGGUUAUCAAAGACAUCCGCCAGAAAUGACUAACCAGCCCCUCAACCUUUAUAUUCCAGUGAAAGAUAGAUGAGGACACAAUGAAGAGGAGGCUUCAGGCACUUUCCUUCAACAUCUGAAGAAAGCCAUCACAGGACGGAGACACAGACAACAGGAAACUGCUUCAGUGCACCUUCCUCAGCAUAAUGACAAAAAUCAUGUGGGACGCUUUAUUUUUUAUUGUAAGAGGCGUCUCCACAUCUGACGGCAGACUGAAGCAAAUCAAUGAGACGGACAUGAGAGUCCUGACUGCUGCUCUCUAGAGUUUCUCAUGCCAGCUGCUGUGUUCUGACCUGACUGUGGACCACAUGUUGUGUGGUGGUUUUCAUUGGUGUUAUCCUUCCACCAACUUUACAGACUGAACUGCAAGAUGCCUGUAAUACAGCAGGAGGAAAACCAGCUGGAAAUUCAUCUUUGGGCUUCGAGCUGAGAAGAUUUC